rnacentral:rRNA from 1 species
CGGGAAUUUUGGGCAAUGGGCGAAAGCCUGACCCAGCAACGCCGCGUGAAGGAUGAAAUCCUUCGGGAUGUAAACUUCGCAAGAACGGGAAGAAUAAGUAAGAGUUAAUAUCUCUUACGAUGACGGUACUCUUUGUAAGCUCCGGCUAACUCCGUUCCAGCAGCCGCGGUAAUACGUAGGGUGCAAGCGUUAAUCGGAAUUACUGGGCGUAAAGCGUGCGCAGGCGGUUAUGUAAGACAGGUGUGAAAUCCCAGGGCUUAACCUUGGAACUGCAUUUGUGACUGCAUAGCUAGAGUACGGUAGAGGGGGAUGGAAUUCCGCGUGUAGCAGUGAAAUGCGUAGAUAUGCGGAGGAACACCGAUGGCGAAGGCAAUCCCCUGGACCUGUACUGACGCUCAUGCACGAAGGCGUGGGGAGCAAAC